GUGUGCAGAGCUGGAAGCAAUCGGCGGGACUCGGGACAUGUUCUCCCUCAUCAGAAAACAAUAGAAAAGAUGAUUGUUAAAAAUGAUCUGGCCAGCUUCACUAGUUAUAAGACUGGAACCUAGCAUAAUUAUCUUCUGAGGGGCUCCAGCCAGCAGCCAAUGGAAAGCGAUGCAGAAACAAACCUACAGCCAAAUGUUAGAUGGAGCUUGGGGAGUCUUACGGACAAGUUAGAAGAAAGAUUGAAGGAACUGAAGAGGACAGGAACUCCACAGGAGAGCAAUAGAGUCGUCUGGCCUGGACCCUUGGGGGCUCCCAGGGCCUGAAUCACCAACCAAAGGGCAAACACAGGCUGGACCUAGGCUCCCUGCACAUAAGUAGCAGAUGAGCAGCUUGGCCUUCCUGAGGGUCCUCAACAGCUGGAGCAGGGGCUGUCCCUGAGCCUGCUGCCUGCCCACAUGUGGAUCCUACACCCCUAAAUGGAGCACCUUGUCUAGCUUCAGUGGAAGACAAUGUACCUAGUCCCAGAGUGACUUGAUGUGUGUAGGGGGGGGGGGGGUUGAAACACAGAGGAGGGUUUCUUCUCAGAAGACAAGGGAAAGGUAAAAUUCAGGGAGGAAUUGCAUGAGGAAGUACUGGGAGGAAAGGAGGAAGGGCUGAUAUUGGAUUAUAAAGUGAAUAAAUAAGUUUAAUAAUUACA